AUUGAACGCUUGCGGCAGGCCUAACACAUGCAAGUCGAACGAGUGGCGGACGGGUGAGUAAUGUCUUGGAAACUGCCUGAUGGAGGGGGAUAACUACUGGAAACGGUAGCUAAUACCGCAUACCAUCGGAUGUGCCCAGAUGGGAUUAGCUAGUAGGUGUGGUAAAGGCUCACCUGGGCGACGAUCCCUAGCUGGUCUGAGAGGAUGACCAGCCAGCCUGGAAAUGAGCCACGGUCCAGACACCUGCGGGAGGCAGCAGUGGGGAAUAUUGCACAAUGGGAGCAAGCCUGAUGCAGCCAUGCCGCGUGUAUGAAGAAGGCCUUCGGGUUGUAAAGUACUUUCAGCGGGGAGGCGUUACCCGCAGAAGAAUCACCGGCUAACUCCGUGCCAGCAGCCGCGGUAAUUC
rnacentral:rRNA from 1 species